GAUCCAACUGCUCGAGGAGAGAGCGGACUUGCAUCACCACGAAAACACUGAGCACAGACCAGCCUUCGAAGGCAAAGCGAAGUGAUCUUUUGGCUAAAACCUUGGUAUUUCUUGCUGAGUCCACCUGACUGAUGCCAUCGCUGAAAGACAAACAAGAACACAUGGAGAAUGUGACUUUCAGGGAAUGAAUGAGAAGAAAAGGAGGUCCAGGAGGUUAGAGAGCAUGCCCAGGGUUCCGCAACUGGUGAGGAGUGGCAAUGGGAUCUAACCCAGGCAUUCUGACUCUGGUGCCCAAGGAGGAAAAACAGGAGUUGGAAAGAAAGCAGGGAUAUUCUAUCCAGUUGAUGAAGAGGGUGGCUAAGAAGAGAAUUUUGACCAGAAACCAAUAAUGCUAUAACCAUACCCAGACAGCAAAGGCCCACAAUGCCCAGCCAAGAAUAGAAGAAU